AAAUGCUAUAAUAGAGUUCUCCAGUCUGAGGUCAGCGAAAGCUUCUCAAAGGAGAUGAUGCCUGGCUAAAGGGACUUUCUUUCUGAGAAAGGGAUCAGCAUGUGCAAAGAUGAAGAGGCAUAAGGACUGACCAGUGGGUCACGGCAAUGAGACAUUUACUGCUGACCUCCAAGAGAAGACUUCCAUUGAAUGAGAGGAAGAUCUACACUACUAAUGAUCAAACUUACCUGGAGCAGUAUCUGACACAGAUAUGUGUUGAGUGAAUGGAUGAAUAAAUAGAUAGAAGGAAGAUCCUCCAACUAUGAAGUUUCUUCUUUUCUUCUGCUGCUGUUGAGUAGAUGAGGGUGCCAAGAAAUAAGACAGCAACACCAGGAAGAAGAACAAAUUUGGGGAUCUCUAAUGCCUGUCAUCUGCGCCAUGGGCUUUAGUUCAAGUGAGUCUUCCUCCU
rnacentral:lncRNA from 10 species